GAUGAACGCUGGCGGCGUGCUUAACACAUGCAGGUCGAACGGAAAGGCUCCUGCUUGCAGGGGUACUCGAGUGGCGAACGGGUGAGUAACACGUGGGUGAUCUGCCCUGCACUUCGGGAUAAGCCUGGGAAACUGGGUCUAAUACCGGAUAGGACGAUGGUUUGGAUGCCAUUGUGGAAAGUUUUUCGGUGUGGGAUGAGCUCGCGGCCUAUCAGCUUGUUGGUGGGGUAAUGGCCUACCAAGGCGUCGACGGGUAGCCGGCCUGAGAGGGUGUACGGCCACAUUGGGACUGAGAUACGGCCCAGACUCCUACGGGAGGCAGCAGUGGGGAAUAUUGCACAAUGGGCGCAAGCCUGAUGCAGCGACGCCGCGUGGGGGAUGACGGCCUUCGGGUUGUAAACUCCUUUCGCUAGGGACGAAGCGCAAGUGACGGUACCUGGAGAAGAAGCACCGGCUAACUACGUG
rnacentral:rRNA from 1 species